GAUGAAGAACGUAGCGAAAUGCGAUAAGUAAUGUGAAUUGCAGAAUUCAGUGAACCAUCGAAUCUUUGAACGCACAUUGCGCCCGGCAGUAAUCUGCCGGGCAUGCCUGUCCGAGCGUCAUUUCUGCCCUCGAGCCUGUCCAGCAUCUAGGUGCUGUUCCGGCCCGGCGUUGGGGCACUACGGGAAGCCUCGUGCUAUCCCCCGUAGGCCCCGAAAUGAAGUGGCGGUCCUGCCGCGGCUCCCCCUGCGUAGUAUUACAGCUCGCUUCGGGACCCGGUGGAGGCCUGCCGUCAAACCUUACUCUCUAAGUUUGACCUCGGAUCAGGCAGGGUUACCCGCUGAACUUAAGCAUAUCAAUAAGCGGAGGA
rnacentral:misc_RNA from 1 species